GAAGUUUCUACUUUUGGGCCUGUUGUGUCUGCAGGUUUUUCUGCUCGCUACAGCAUUCACGUCUUCGGAGAAAGCUGCUCUCCUCACAGAUGAUCAACAGCUGGCYAAUCUGAAGGAAGAMGGCAAAGGGAUGAAGAGAACUCAAUUUCGAGGAUGGAAAGGCUGUGGAAGGAGGAUUGGGGACUGUAAUUCUUUCAGAGUGGAACCAACAAAGAAUCCAAAACCAACCMGAGCCAGAAAAUAAAUGAUKGAUGACAGAAACAACUUGCCAACACGUGAACAUCAAAAAUCCAAAAUAUUUUUUUUCUUAUCAACUUCCUUAUUUGCUAUAUCUCAAGUAAAUCUUUGCUUUGCAACCUAAUGAAAUGCUUCAAGGAAAUAAAUCUGUUUUYUCUCAUGCUUAUUAUAUUAAAAACACAUUUUAAAUGA